CCCUUAGAUCUUCUGGGCUGCACGCGUGCUACACUGAUAUUGCCAAUAUGUCAUUCUUAUCCGAAAUGGAUUGGGUAAUCAAGUAAUGAAAUUUCAUGCUUGGAAUCGGUAAUUGCAAUUUUAUCGUGAACGAGGAAUUCCUAGUAAGCACUAGUCAUCAGCUAAUGUUGAUUAUGUCCCUGCCCUUUGUACACACCGCCCGUCGCUACUACUGAUUGGGUGUUCAAGUGAGAUGCUUAGACCCUUGUUGCAUGGUUCAUUAUUGUGCUCCGAAAGGAAAAAGUUUCAAGCUUGAGUGUCUAGAGGAAGUAAAAGUCGUAACA
rnacentral:rRNA from 1 species